rnacentral:rRNA from 1 species
GUAGUCCACGCCCUAAACGAUGUCAACUAGUUGUCGGGUCUUAAUUGACUUGGUAACGCAGCUAACGCGUGAAGUUGACCGCCUGGGGAGUACGGUCGCAAGAUUAAAACUCAAAGGAAUUGACGGGGACCCGCACAAGCGGUGGAUGAUGUGGAUUAAUUCGAUGCAACGCGAAAAACCUUACCUACCCUUGACAUGUACGGAAGCCCCGAGAGAUUGGGGUGUGCUCGAAAGAGAGCCGUAACACAGGUGCUGCAUGGCUGUCGUCAGCUCGUGUCGUGAGAUGUUGGGUUAAGUCCCGCAACGAGCGCAACCCUUGUCAUUAGUUGCUACGAAAGGGCACUCUAAUGAGACUGCCUACGCAAGUAGAGA